rnacentral:rRNA from 1 species
GACGAACGCUGGCGGCGUGCCUAAUACAUGCAAGUCGAGCGAGCUUGCCUAGAUGAAUUUGGUGCUUGCACCAAAUGAAACUAGAUACAAGCGAGCGGCGGACGGGUGAGUAACACGUGGGUAACCUGCCCAAGAGACUGGGAUAACACCUGGAAACAGAUGCUAAUACCGGAUAACAACACUAGACGCAUGUCUAGAGUUUAAAAGAUGGUUCUGCUAUCACUCUUGGAUGGACCUGCGGUGCAUUAGCUAGUUGGUAAGGUAGCGGCUUACCAAGGCAAUGAUGCAUAGCCGAGUUGAGAGACUGAUCGGCCACAUUGGGACUGAGACACGGCCCAAACUCCUACGGGAGGCAGCAGUAGGGAAUCUUCCACAAUGGACGCAAGUCUGAUGGAGCAACGCCGCGUGAGUGAAGAAGGGUUUCGGCUCGUAAAGCUCUGUUGGUAGUGAAGAAAGAUAGAGGUAGUAACUGGCCUUUAUUUGACGGUAAUUACUUAGAAAGUCACGGCUAACUACGUGCCAGCAGCCGCGGUAAUACGUAGGUGGCAAGCGUUGUCCGGAUUUAUUGGGCGUAAAGCGAGUGCAGGCGGUUCAAUAAGUCUGAUGUGAAAGCCUUCGGCUCAACCGGAGAAUUGCAUCAGAAACUGUUGAACUUGAGUGCAGAAGAGGAGAGUGGAACUCCAUGUGUAGCGGUGGAAUGCGUAGAUAUAUGGAAGAACACCAGUGGCGAAGGCGGCUCUCUGGUCUGC